UUUACUCUUGUUUUGGCCCUAUCUUUUAUAUAUGUUGUUUUUCUCCUGCUCCAUUCUCUAUUCUCGCCACCCAGAAUUCAUCACCACCAUGGCAAUCAGCAGCAACAACGACUCCACCACCACUAGCAGUGCCUCCAGAAGCAGUAGCAGCGACUCCACUAGAAACAACAACCGAUGUUGAAACCUGAUGGGAUGGCAUUGGAUUAUGGUUUUAAAUACCAGUGAAGCUAUCAUAGAGUACGCCGUCAUUUGGGAAGAAAUGAUGGGUCACCUAAUAUUGAAAGGCGUGGCUUCGAAGGGCUUAAUUAGAGAAGAAAGCACUGGAUAAGGAUGAAUGGUAAUUGGAGAAAAUGGAUGACACUCUACUGCAUAAUCCUGGGUUCUAGUUAGCCUCAAAAUUUUUGGCAGCUUAUCUAGGGUAUGCAUUUCAAAACUUUAUCAAUGAUGAGAAUUGGGGUUUUAGGACAUGAUAAUGUUCUUUAGGCCAACUCAAUAAUGGCAUUUUUAUGCUUGAUGUCUUUCUCUUGCUGGGUUUUUAUCGACUGCUCAAUUGCAUGUACAAGCUAUCCUGUUAGCUAUUGAACAGGUAUUGUAAGAGCAGCUUAUAAUGAUGUCUAGGCCUAUGUUACUUGUGUUUAGUGUUAAUGUUCUUAACUCGCUCCCAGUUUAAGUGGAUAAAAAAAUAAAAUGUUCUUCAGGAUAAUUUGCAACCCCAACUAAAUAUAAACACAAGACAUACCAGUAUAUACUGUGGGCUGCAUCUCUAUGAUCUCUCGUUUUGCUUUACUUUGUGAAAAAACUGAUCUAUGUUAUGGCUUCAAAAUUACGUGGUGGUUUUUCUGUUUUCAAGAAAAAUGAAAAAGGACGUGUUUUGAUUUCGGCCAUGACAGGGUUCACGACUUUGACUAGCUUUAUAUAUAUAUAUAUGUCCAGUAGCUGCAAUCUUUGU